rnacentral:rRNA from 1 species
UACAGAGGUCUCAAGCGUUGUUCGGAUUCAUUGGGCGUAAAGGGUGCGUAGGCGGCGCGGUAAGUCGGGUGUGAAAUCUUGGAGCUUAACUCCGAAACUGCAUUCGAUACUGCCGUGCUUGAGGACUGGAGAGGAGACUGGAAUUUACGGUGUAGCGGUGAAAUGCGUAGAUAUCGUAAGGAAGACCGGUGGCGAAGGCGGGUCUCUGGACAGUGCCUGACGCUGAGGCACGAAGGCCAGGGGAGCAAACGGG